AAUAUUAGCUUAGCAUACCAAAAAAAAAAUCAAAAGAGUUCUAAGAGAGAGAGAGAACGAAAGAGUCUGAACCCUAAAAUAGCGAUUCCAGCCACUGCCAUUCAUCUCCUCACCGCCGUUGCCGCCAUGUCUCCUCCAUCAAAGCGUCGCCGGUGGAGUUAUGAGGACGAGGUGAUCGUGGAGCUUCUCAAUUCGUGGAGCUCUCGCUUCUCGGGAUAGUAAUGCUUUAGAUCUUCCGCUUCUGCGUCGUCUUCCACGGCGGAUGCUGCCGCUGGUUCUGCUUUUGCUCCAGCGGCUUGAAGCACUCAUAGCAGUUUGGGCGCAGACUUGGUGGCACUUGCUGAGUAGAUCUGUAAGGCAAGCGAGUGAAAGACUUUGGAAGCUUCGAUUGAAGCUGCGAUAGUGCGAUCAAAGCUAUCAAAUCUUAUGGAACUAAUUCUCAUGUUGUUCGAGUCAUUGAGGGCCUGCUAUGGUGUUUUGAGGUUUGUUAUGGAAAAUGGCGCCAAGGGAUGCGAGAUUUGUUCUUGACAGCAUCUGAUUUCAGGUUUCUUUGUUGCUAUGCUUAGGUUGCGAUAACAUUUUGAUUCUGUGCAGGUCAUCGUUAGUGGUAAGUUGAGGGCUCAGCGUGCUAAAUCCAUGAAGUUCAAGGAUGGGUACAUGAUUUCCUCAGGGCAACCAGUCAAGAACUACAUUGAUUCUGUUGUAAGACAUGUACUCCUUAGGCAGGUUAGUAUAUACUCUUUUAGACAAGUCUUCCUUUGAUUGCAUUGAUAGUGUAUGCAUCUUGUUUUUGUUAUGAAGGGAUUUGGAUAAGAAAUGUUGCAGAUGAGUAGCUUCACAAAGCUUUCAUGAAGUAUAGCUUGGUGGCGAGGAUGUUUACGACAAAAAGGUUCAUUAUAUAGAGGGUAUUCUUCCAGAUGGCACAGCAAUAGCAGUUAAACAGCUUUCUUCUAGAUCGAAGCAGGGGAAUCGUGAGUUCACAAAUGAGAUUGGCAUGAUUUCUGCUUUGCAACACGCGUGUCUAGUUAAGCUCUAUGGCUGUUAUAUGGAGGGAGAUCAAAUGUUGUUGAUAUAUGAUUAUAUAGAAAACAACAGCCUUGCCAGUGCUCUGUGGGGCAAAGAGAAAACUCAAUUGAAAUUGGACUGGUCAACAAGGCGCAAGAUUUGUAUAGGCGUUGCUAAAGGCUUGGCUUACCUCCAUGGAGAGUCAAGAUUAAAAAUAGUUGGUUAGUACCACCAUUGACAAUACAUUUGAUUUUUUUAGAGCAAUUAGUAAUUGACUCUCUAAUUGAUGUCACUACACUAGAAGGAUAACUUAAUAUUAGUGAUAUUUAAGCAUAGUAAGAAGUGUAUUAUUUUAGUAUUACUAGUUUAUACCUUUUGAAAGUUUUUUUUCUGUAUCUUUCAUGAGAAUUGUGAUUCAUUUACGGGUAGCAGGCUGUUAAUCUGUUUUUGA